GACGAACGCUGGCGGCGUGCCUAAUACAUGCAAGUUGAGCGCUGAAGGUUGGUACUUGUACCAACUGGAUGAGCAGCGAACGGGUGAGUAACGCGUGGGGAAUCUGCCUUUGAGCGGGGGACAACAUUUGGAAACGAAUGCUAAUACCGCAUAAAAACUUUAAACACAAGUUUUAAGUUUGAAAGAUGCAAUUGCAUCACUCAAAGAUGAUCCCGCGUUGUAUUAGCUAGUUGGUGAGGUAAAGGCUCACCGAGGCGAUGAUACAUAGCCGACCUGAGAGGGUGAUCGGCCACAUUGGGACUGAGACACGGCCCAAACUCCUACGGGAGGCAGCAGUAGGGAAUCUUCGGCAAUGGACGAAAGUCUGACCGAGCAACGCCGCGUGAGUGAAGAAGGUUUUCGGAUCGUAAAACUCUGUUGGUAGAGAAGAACGUUGGCGAGAGUGGAAAGCUCAUCAAGUGACGGUAACUACCCAGAAAGGGACGGCUAACUACGUG
rnacentral:rRNA from 1 species